GAUGAACGCUGGCGGCGUGCUUAACACAUGCAAGUCGAACGGGAAACCUUUUAUUGAAGCUUCGGCAGAUUUAGCUGGGUUCUAGUGGCGGACGGGAGAGUAACGCGUGGGUAUCCUGCCUUAUUCAGGGGGGUAACAAUCAGAAAUGGUUGCUAAUACCGCAUAAGCGCACAGGACCGCAUUUUCCGGUGUGAAAAACUCCGGUGGUGUAAGUUGGAUCCGCGUUGGAUUGGCUAGUUGGCGGGGUAACGGCCUACCAAGGCGACGGUCCAUAGCCGGCCUGUGAGGGUGAGCCGCCACAUUGAGACUGGGGCACGGCCCAGACUCCUACGGGAGGGAGCAGUGGGGAAUACUGCACAAGCGGGGAAACGCUGAUGAAGCGGGGCCGCGUGAAGGAAGAAGUAUCUCGGGAUGGAAACGUCGAUCAGCAGGGAAGAUAGUGACGGUACCUGACGAAGAAGCCCCGGCUAACUACGUG
rnacentral:rRNA from 1 species